rnacentral:rRNA from 1 species
AUUGAACGCUGGCGGCAGGCCUAACACAUGCAAGUCGAACGAGUGGCGGACGGGUGAGUAAUGUCUGGGAAACUCCCUGAUGGAGGGGGAUAACUACUGGAAACGGUAGCUAAUACCGCAUACCAUCAGAUGUUCCCAGAUGGGAUUAGCUUGUUGGUGGGGUAACGGCUCACCAAGUCGACGAUCCAUAGCUGGUCUGAGAGGAUGACCAGCCACACUGGAACUGAGACACGUUCCAGACUCCUACGGUAGGCAGCAGUGGGGAAUCUUGCGCAAUGGGCGCAAGCCUGAUGCAGCAAUGCCGCGUGAAUGAAGAAGGCCUUCGGGUUGUAAAGUACUUUCAGCGGGGAAGCGUUACCCGCAGAAGAAGCACCGGCUAACUCCGUGCCAGCAGCCGCGGUAAUAC